rnacentral:rRNA from 1 species
GUAUAAAGUGGCGAACGGCUGAGUAACACGUGGGCAACCUGCCCUUUGCACUGGGAUAGCCUCGGGAAACCGAGGUUAAUACCGGAUACUCCAUAUUUGUCGCAUGGCGAAUAUGGGAAAGCUCCGGCGGCAAAGGAUGGGCCCGCGGCCUGUUAGCUAGUUGGUGGGGUAGUGGCCUACCAAGGCAAUGAUGGGUAGCCGGGUUGAGAGACCGACCGGCCAGAUUGGGACUGAGACACGGCCCAGACUCCUACGGGAGGCAGCGGG